rnacentral:tRNA from 1 species
GUACUCGUAGCCAAGAGGUUGAAGGCAAUGGACUCAUAAUCCAUCUUCUUAGGAACAACACUGGUUCGAAUCCAGUCGGGUACA